UACGGGGGGGGCAAGCGUUGUUCGGAAUUACUGGGCGUAAAGGGCUCGUAGGCGGCCAACUAAGUCGGAUGUGAAAUCCCCAAGCUUAACUUGGGAACUGCAUCCGAUACUGGAUGGCUUGAAUCCGGGAGAGGGAUGCAGAAUUCCAGGUGUAGCGGUGAAAUGCGUAGAUAUCUGGAGGAACACCGGUGGCGAAGGCGACAUCCUGGACCGGUAUUGACGCUGAGGCGCGAAAGCCAGGGGAGCAAAGCGG
rnacentral:rRNA from 1 species